UCUAAAAAAUUUUUAGUUAACAGUUUAACGUAUAUUUUGAAAACAUUAAACUAAAUAAAUUAACUAAGUAUAUAACACUGUAUUUACUGAUCAUUGGCCUAAUUCUAAUAAGAUCCAGGAUCCAGAUAACGUGGAUACUGCGGUUAGGUAGACCUAACUCGGCCCGCCGACCAAGAUAGCUGACGCGCUUGUCUUACCUCUGAUGGCCAGUAUUUUUGUGGAUAAGGUACACAUUCAGGCAUUCACACACGUGCUUUAUGAAAAAAUAUAUGGAUCGGAAUGAAGUAAAUUGGAUUUAUUUGAGAUUGUAAUCAAUUGGGAUAAAAAUAAAUGAAACAAGAUGGAAUGGAAUGAAAAAAGUGUCUGUAAAAUGGGGAUUACUUACUAAGAAUUCGGUGGACUUUUUGGAAGAGCCCGAGAAGCCACGUCCAGCGAAUUAGUCUCAUCUUUGCAGAUGCUAAACAUUAAGAAUACUAACUACUCUUAUUAUACGCUUAAACUUGAAGAAACACCAAUAUAAAAAAUUCAAACUAUUCACACAACUUCGCUCUUUGCAUUCCCACCAAAAAGUCUCUAUUAAAUUAAGCCAUGUCCCAUACCAUAUUUUCUUGUUAAUAAGUCACCGUUAAUAGUUGUUAAAGCCUAAGAAAACACUAAAUUAACAAAACAAAUAAUUCACACUUCCCUCCUCGUUCCUCACAUUCUUGUCAACAAGUCGUCUUAAAGUUAAUAAUGUUAGCGUUUCUUAAGUAAAUAAAAAAAUAAUAAUAAUAA